AGAGUUUGAUCAUGGCUCAGGACGAACGCUGGCGGCGUGCUUAACACAUGCAAGUCGAGCGGUAAGGCCCUUUCGGGGGUACACGAGCGGCGAACGGGUGAGUAACACGUGGGUGACCUGCCCUCAGCUCUGGGAUAAGCCCGGGAAACUGGGUCUAAUACCGGAUAUUCACUUCUCAUCGCAUGGUGGGUGGUGGAAAGUUUUUUCGGCUGGGGAUGGGCCCGCGGCCUAUCAGCUUGUUGGUGGGGUGAUGGCCUACCAAGGCGACGACGGGUAGCCGGCCUGAGAGGGCGACCGGCCACACUGGGACUGAGACACGGCCCAGACUCCUACGGGAGGCAGCAGUGGGGAAUAUUGCGCAAUGGGCGGAAGCCUGACGCAGCGACGCCGCGUGGGGGAUGACGGCCUUCGGGUUGUAAACCUCUUUCGACCGGGACGAAGAGUGAUUGACGGUACCGGUAGAAGAAGCACCGGCCAACUACGUGCCAGCAGCCGCGGUAACACGUAGGGUGCGAGCGUUGUCCGGAAUUAUUGGGCGUAAAGAGCUCGUAGGCGGUGUGUCGCGUCGGCCGUGAAAACCUGGGGCUUAACUCUGGGCUUGCGGUCGAUACGGGCAUCACUGGAGUUCGGCAGGGGAGACUGGAAUUCCUGGUGUAGCGGUGAAAUGCGCAGAUAUCAGGAGGAACACCGGUGGCGAAGGCGGGUCUCUGGGCCGAUACUGACGCUG
rnacentral:rRNA from 1 species